UCCCUGGUGGCUCAGAUGGUCCAGAAUCUGCCUACAGUGCAGGAGACCCAGGUUCGAUCCCUGGUUUGGGAA
rnacentral:tRNA from 1 species